ACGGGUGAGUAACGCGUAUCCAACCUCCCCGUUAGUAGGGCAGUAGCCCGGCGAAAGUCGGAUUAAUACCCUAUGUUAUUCGUCGAGGACAUCUGAAGUGAAUCAAAGAUUUUAUCGCUAAGGGAUGGGGGAUGGCGUCUGAUUAGGUGUGGCGGGGUAACGCCCACCAAGCCAUCGAUCAGUAGGGGUUCUGAGAGGAAGGUCCCCCACAUUGGUACUGAGACACGGACCAAACUCCUACGGGAGGCAGCAGUGAGGAAUAUUGGUCAAUGGGCGAGAGCCUGAACCAGCCAAGUAGCGUGCCAGGAUGACUGCCCUAUGGGGUUGUAAACUGCUUUUAUACGGGGAUAAAGUGAGGUAUGCAUACCUUUUUGUAGGUACCGUAUGAAUAAGGACCGGCUAAUUCCGUGCCAGCAGCCGC
rnacentral:rRNA from 1 species